CCACCCCCCAACUCCUCCCAGGCCUCCAGCCAGCCACAGCAGGAGAGGAGCCCUGCUCCCAGCGCCGCCCCCAACUCCUCCCAGGCCUCCAGCCAGCCACAGCAAGAGUGGAGCCCUGUUCCCAGCGCCGCCCCUGAGCCAGCCUCCGAAGCGUC